AGGAGGAUGCUGGAGCACAACAAACCAAAACCCACCCCGGAGAGUUGCCUUGAAGAGAAACACCAGGCACAUUGGAUUGAGGCAGGAGGGGAAGGGGAAGGUGGGAGCACAGGGAAUUCCUGGCCAGGAGCAGGGAGAUGCUGGCUCCCAUUCCCAGCCUGGAAUCACUCCCAGCUCUGGCUCCGUGGCACCCACCUGGGAGCGAUCAGGGAGCUGCUGGAAGGAGGCUCUGGAUGUGCUCCCUCCAUGGCACUGCUGGGUGCUGGGGGUGUCCCCCCCCUCCCUGCUGAACUGUCACAGCCAGGCUGGAAUCAGAAGGGUUUGGGGUUGUGCCAGCCCGUGCAAGGAGCUGCCCUGAAUCAACUCCCUGGGCAGACGGACUCGCGUGGGGCUCAUAAAACCCCGAGCACCUUCUUGGCAGAGUCACAGUAAAUAAGAGCCUGGGAGGGAAAACACCAACUCCAUCUUGCUGGGAAAUGGGGCUUCAGCUUCAUCCAGUUUUUGGCCUCCCAAAUCCAGCAGAGCUCUCCAGGAGCAGGACAUCCAUGGACAGCACCACAGCACAGGGGGUCAGUGCCCAAAUCUGCUUUCUCCUGGCAAGCUGAGUGUGCAGCCAGACACCUGGAAUCUCCAGGGAGCAGCUC